AGAUUGAACGCUGGCGGCAUGCCUUACACAUGCAGGUCGAACGGCAGCACGGGGGCAACCCUGGUGGCGAGUGGCGAACGGGUGAGUAACAUAUCGGAACGCGCCCUGGAGUGGGGGAUAACUAGUCGAAAGACUAGCUAAUACCGCAUACGAUCUACGGAUGAAAGUGGGGGAUCGCAAGACCUCAUGCUCGUGGAGCGGCCGAUAUCUGAUUAGCUAGUUGGUGGGUAAAGGCCUACCAAGGCAUCGAUCAGUAGCUGGUCUGAGAGGACGACCAGCCACACUGGGACUGAGACACGGCCCAGACUCCUACGGGAGGCAGCAGUGGGGAAUUUUGGACAAGUGGGCGCAAGCCUGAUCCAGCAAUGCCGCGUGAGUGAAGAGCCGUUCGGUGUAAGCUCUUGUCAGGAAGAACGGUUCU
rnacentral:rRNA from 1 species